rnacentral:rRNA from 1 species
UACGGAGGGUGCAAGCGUUAAUCGGAAUUACUGGGCGUAAAGCGCACGCAGGUGGCUGAGUCAGUCGAUUGUGAAAGCCCUGGGCUUAACCUGGGAAUUGCAGUCGAUACUACUCAGCUAGAGUAUGGGAGAGGGUAGUGGAAUUCCCGGUGUAGCGGUGAAAUGCGUAGAUAUUCGGAAGAACACCAGUGGCGAAGGCGACUCGCUGGACAGGUAUUGACGCUGAGACGCGAAAGCUAGGGGAGCAAGCGGG